rnacentral:rRNA from 1 species
CGCGUAGGCGGUCUCUUAAGUCAGAUGUGAAAGCCCGAGGCUUAACCUCGGAAGUGCAUUUGAAACUAAGGGACUUGAGUAUGGGAGAGGGAAGUGGAAUUCCUGGUGUAGCGGUGAAAUGCGUAGAUAUCAGGAGGAACACCGGUGGCGAAGGCGACUUCCUGGACCAAUACUGACGCUGAGGCGCGAAGGCGUGGGGAGCAAACAGGAUUAGAUACCCUGGUAGUCC